UUGAGAUUCUAUUUGUGCUGAGUAAGGACGUGAAUAUCCAACCCUCGACCAAAUUUCACAACGAGGUUGUCCACUUGUCGUCCCCCAACAUACUUCUUACUAAGAAACGCUCUUGUACACUGAAGCGAUGGCCUGCCGGACAGAAUGGAUAGGGACGACAGUCGAACGAACCGUAAUUAUUGACACACAACUCGGUCUGAGUCGUACAGUUGUGCGAUCCUUCAAUGCAUUCGUCAAUAUCUGUUGCAUUUAACAAAAUGAAUAAAUUGCUGUUUAUCUUUCAAAUAAUAUUUCAGCACACACCUUCACAGCGUCCGGUUGAUGUGUUGCGGCGGAAUCCAGACAGGCAAGGCGUCAACGGUUUGCAUCGGUAUGAACCGGCGGUGUUGACGCAGUCGGAUUUUGAUGGUUCACAACGCGACCACCGCCCGCCUCUUUGCGGAAUCCUGACGGGCAUGAACCGGAUGAGUUGUGCUGUUGGCGUGCAGCUCUGGUUGUUGGAGGAGCAGUUGUAGUGGUGGUGGGAGUAGUUGUUGUUGUCGUCGGUCUCGUCGUGGUUGUUGUGGUCGUCGUCGUAGUAGUAGUAGUAGAUGAAGUGACGCGUGAAACGGGAAUCGGACGCGUGUUGAAGUCGGUUGUAGUCGUUGCCGGGAUACUCACCGUUUGCAAAACGGGUCUCAGUUGUUCACAUCGGUACGAUCCGGGUGCAAUUGUGAUUGUUGUUGAGGCACUCGUCCAUGUCGACACAUGGGCCCAUGGCGUCGGCGACGUCGGGUUGGUAUCCCGGCGCGCAGGCCUCGACACAUUCGUACGAUCCUUCCGUGUUUGCGCAACGCUUGUCAUCGUCGCACAAGCUCAGAUCGUCCAACUGUCCGUUCAGACAUUCGUCCAGAUCUACAAAGAUGUUGUGGUUACCACAGCUCAAAAAGAAUAAGGCUCAAAUUCUACCGUGAAAUUCUACUAAUUCGAACUAAUACUUUUCUACUGACAUUAUCCAAAAGAAUGAACGGUUGGGUUCAUUUAUUUCAACGAAAUUUGCAGAAGGCCAAUACUGCCACCAAGUACCACUGCCUACAUUGUAGAAUUCAAGCAUCAUCACACCACGUCUAUUGAUAACUAGAACUACGGAGCGAGAAAGUCGAAGGCGCAUUAAGAGAUAGUGAAGCAAACUUGUUCGUCCUCAUCGUAGGUGUAACCGGUUGGGCAUUGGCCAUAGUUUGGAAUCUGGUGAUGAUCAUCGACGUCGUGGUGACGCUGGCCGGUCGUGGUGGAUGCGGCGUCGGCGCUGAGUGGCUCGCAAUGAUAGCGGCCCAGGUCGUUGAUGCACAUUUCCAUUCCGUGCACGCAAGUAUCGAGACGCUCGGCGCAUUCGUCCACAUCUGUGACAUAAUAAGGAGACGGACCGGCAUUGCCCGCGACAAGAAAACCCUCAACCAGUUAACAACACGAUUGGACAGGAGACGCAACACACCAGACAGGUAUAGAACUGUCACGGUACCUUCGCACGUCUGUUGAGCCGUGUUGAAUUUGUAUCCUGCCGGGCAAGUGACAGAUGGACCAAGUAAACUACUUUCGU